rnacentral:rRNA from 1 species
UGGGGAAUAUUGGACAAUGGGCGCAAGCCUGAUCCAGCCAUGCCGCGUGAGUGACGAAGGUCUUCGGAUUGUAAAGCUCUUUUUGGCGGGGACGAUAAUGACGGUACCCGCAGAAUAAGCCCCGGCUAACUUCGUGCCAGCAGCCGCGGUAAUACGAAGGGGGCUAGCGUUGUUCGGAAUUACUGGGCGUAAAGCGCACGUAGGCGGACUGAUAAGUCAGGGGUGAAAUCCCGGGGCUCAACCUCGGAACUGCCUUUGAUACUGUUAGUCUCGAGUCCGGAAGAGGUGAGUGGAAUUCCUAGUGUAGAGGUGAAAUUCGUAGAUAUUAGGAAGAACACCAGUGGCGAAGGCGGCUAACUGGUCCGGUACUGACGCUGAGGUGCGAAAGCGUGGGGAGCAAACAGGAUUAGAUACCCCUGUAGUCCCUGAGCGGGCUGGCAAGGCGCAU